rnacentral:tRNA from 1 species
GGGAACGUAGCUCAGCGGCAGAGUGCAUGCCUUGCAAGCAUGAGGCCCUGGGUUCGAUUCCUCAGCACCA